rnacentral:rRNA from 1 species
GAUGAACGCUGGCGGCGUGCCUAAUACAUGCAAAUCGAGCGAACAGACGAGGAGCUUGCUCCUUUGACGUUAGCGGCGGACGGGUGAGUAACACGUAGGUAACCUACCUAUAAGACUGGGAUAACUUCGGGAAACCGGAGCUAAUACCGGAUAAUAUUUCGAACCGCAUGGUUCGAUAGUGAAAGAUGGCUUUGCUAUCACUUAUAGAUGGACCUGCGCCGUAUUAGCUAGUUGGUAAGGUAACGGCUUACCAAGGCAACGAUACGUAGCCGACCUGAGAGGGUGAUCGGCCACCCUGGAACUGAGACACGGUCCAGACUCCUACGGGAGGCAGCAGUAGGGAAUCUUCCGCAAUGGGCGAAAGCCUGACGGAGCAACGCCGCGUGAGUGAUGAAGGUCUUCGGAUCGUAAAACUCUGUUAUUAGGGAAGAACAAACGUGUAAGUAACUGUGCACGUCUUGACGGUACCUAAUCAGAAAGCCACGGCUAACUACGUG